GGCUGACUGCGUGGGUUCUCACAUAUUGCCCUCUCCUCUACAGCUACCACCUGUCUGGGUUCAACCAGCAGAAUGGGCAAACAAAACAUUUCAGCAGAAGCGUGCAGAGGUGCUUGGGGCGCUCAGGGUGUUACAAGAUGGCGUGCAACGGGCAACAAGUCAGACCACUUUGCAAUGUCAGGCCUCAUUACUGGAAAGACUCGGGCAUCAUGUCACAAAUUAUGUCGGCCUCGUCAGCAGCCUCCAGAUUCAGGCUGACAGGGAGACGUCAUCUCAUCCUGAAGUACCAAACAGUCCCCCUCAAACCAGUCUGACCAAAGUGCUGGAACGGUACAGGAAUCUGCUGAAGGGGAAACUGGAGCGCCUUGCUGUCGACCUUAAAGACAGUUUGUGCCACGCAGAGCACAGGACAGACGAUUCCUGAGAGCUGGACAAGCUCGACGUGGACGUAGAGACCUGGAUUGUUAAGAUCCUGGAUGUUUCCAUUUACUCUGGAAACGAGGAUUCAUGAGGACAUGAACCAGUGAGUGGUUCAGGAGGCCGAAGGGAGGAGCAAUAACGAUGAGUUGAAUGUAAUGAAACUCCCAUGGAGGGACUGUAGGAGUGUGUGGAAAGAUGAUCUGAAACAGAGCUGAGGGGUUUGUCAGGCUUGUUGAGGCUUGAUAAGCUGCUUUCCCAGAUAAAUGUGUGUAAUUCUUCUUCUGAGGAAUAAAUAGAGUACAGCUUAACUCUGACCGACUGACCACAAGGACUCUGGGGCCUGAUUCCAAGAAAAAUCUGCGUCCACUAAAUCUGUGAAAAUGAGUCGUAAAGACGCCGUCUAAUUAAUAAAAUACAUGCAAAGGGUUAAAGUGCUGACUUAUCUCAAUCCAUUCGAUAGUGUGGAUGUAUUUCCCUUUCUGAUUGGCAAUCAGAUAUUUAGGAACAUGCUGGUAAUGACCUUUAACCGACCUUUAACUGGAACCACAGAGCUCGAUUCUGGGAGACUUCAGGGAGGGAGUUUGGACUUGGAUCACUACGAACCUGUUUUGUAGUGUCAAGACCACAAUAACCGAGACAAAGACAUACUUGAGACCAGAGUGCUCUGAGACCGGGACAAGACCAAGACCUAGGCAGGGCGAGGGUCUGGUCUCUGUUACUGACCACAAAGACUCGGGGCGCCAGGGUCUGGUCUCUGUUACUGACUACGAAGACUCGGGGCGCCAGGGUCUGGUCUCUGUGACUGACCACGAAGACUCGGGGCGCCAGGGUCUGGUCUCUGUGACUGACCAGGAAGACUUGGGGCGUCAGGGUCUCAGGGCGCCAGGGUCUGGUCUCUGUUACUGACCACCAAGACUCAGGGCGUCAGGGUCUCAGGGCGCCAGGGUCUGGUCUCUGUGAUUGACCAAGAAGACUCAGGGCGUCAGGGUCUGGUCUCUGUUACUGACCAAGAAGACUCAGGGCGUCAGGGUCUCAGGGCGCCAGGGUCUGGUCUCUGUGAUUGACCAAGAAGACUCAGGGCGUCAGGGUCUGGUCUCUGUGAUUGACCAAGAAGACUCAGGGCGUCAGGGUCUCGUCUCUGUGACUAACUACCAAGACUCAGGGCGUCAGGGUCUCAGGGCGUCAGGGUCUCAGGGCGUCAGGGUCUGGUCUCUGUGACUGACCUCAUUGAAACGAGUCGAUUGUGUAAUGAUGUUCUCUUCUCUGCAGAUUAUAGUUCUAGGAUUUUAUGAUGUCAGUCCAUCAGCUGCUUGUUUGUUCCUGUUUUUAUUUCAAGUGGAUUUUUGUUGAUGUAAAGCACUUUGUGAUGUUUGUCUGUUAAACGGUUCAUGAAUAAACUUUACUCUCUCUAUGA